UAAGUUUAAAACUAAUAAAUGUAAAACGAAAUACCCCCGACAUUACCUUGAAAAGAUAGAAUCCGGGAACAAAGUAACAAACACCACGCCAACAUUCUUGGGGGGAUCCUGGGAGAAGAGCGACCCGCUUCCACCAAGGCUCCGAUAGGAGGUUCUCAACGGAUCUCCGCACUCCCACCCCAGGAGAAAUGUGGCGAUGCCUGAAGGCUUCCUGAUUGUCACAAUUAGGGACCUGGAUUGCCUCACCUGGGAAGGAGGUGGAGGGCUGUAAUCUCCAGGUUCCCCUUUCCAGCUCAAAAUUCUGGAACCAUGACUGAGAAGGCAAGUAUACAUGGUGUUCAUAGCCCUACUCCUUGCCCUCUAAGAAAACAGUCAUUGCCUUUUUGUGCCUGACGGCUUUAUUCUAUUGCGUUCUACUCUAUUAUUCUAGUCCACUGUAUUCUGUUGUGUUCUAUUCUAUUCCAUCCCAUUCUGUUCUGGGGCCAGAGGAGGAGAGGGGCUGUGGAGGUGGUGGGCUCACCCACGAUCACCUCACAAGACCCUUCAAGGGAGAAUUUCUUCUGACGCAAACUGCAGCUGCUCUGGGCCUUAACACUACCAUUCCAUCCUCAUGCAAAAAGACCAGCAGGCAAAGAAAGCAGUUGCCACAAUGAAGGAAAUAAUUGAUCCUAAUCAUCAUGAGAAGGUCACGCUGUUACCUAAGAGUGGCAGAGAGGAAUGUGACUGGUGACCCACUGGGACAUCCCCCAAUACCUCCACACCCGGCUGUAACUGUAAAUGGGCGAGUAAGAGAACACUAGCCAGACAAGAAUCCAAGACACCCACUGUGCACGCCACCAGCAGAAGACUGCCAUGCCAUAGAAGACGAGAGGCUGAACAUUGGCAAGGAGGCCCCCUGACUCUCAUCUUGGGCUUUAAAUUGGUGAUUAAUCUGAGCCUAUCUCUUUCUCCACCCUUUCCAGUGCUUCUAUGGAGCUCAGCAAUAGCCUCCUAAUUCUGUGGUCCUGAUACUUAAUAUUUUCCCCAAAUUUCUUAAAAGCUAGAGACAUCACAUCAACUGGUGCAUCCCUGUCCACCUGUAUCUUCUUUUAAAAAAAUAUUUUAUUUAUUUAUUCAUGAGAGACACAGAGAGAGAGGCAGAGACACAAGCAGAGGGAGAAGCAGACGCCCUAGGGGAGCCCGAUGCAGGACUUGAUCCCAGGAUCCCGGGAUCACAACCUGAGCCAAAGGCAGACGCUCAACCACUGAACCACCCAGGUACCUCUGUCCACCCGUAUCUGACCCCAGGUGUCACCACAGGUGAAGAUCUUAGCAACUGAACUGCCAUCACAAUCCAGAGACCGGGGCUUUCAAUGCUCCACCCAACCAGCAGCAGUGGAAUCCUCCUUGUCAUCUAGCCAUCAAGUGACCUAAUAAUGCCCAAAUCCUAUCCUCUCUAUGACCUUUCCUGGUACCAUCUUGGGUGAGGUUUCCCAGAAGCAGGUUGCACAAAGAGCUGUGGAGAAAGGGUUUUCAGAGGAAACCUAUAAGCACUGAGGACAGAAGACAGGGCAGGGAAGAAGCCAGGUGAGGAAGUGGGCUCAAGUCUAGCAUCAGCCUAAUCUCUUGGGAAACCCUGGAGCAUAGAUGGCACCACAGGUGUCCUGGCUAGACAGCUCUGGUCAGCUGAGAGCAAUCCUCAGAAGGGCACAACUGGGAGCUGCUAGCAGCUCACCUCCUAGCAGCUGAGCAGUGGGUGCACACACCUGAUAAAAGGGAUGUGGGCAAAGUGUCUACAGCCUCUAUUACACUAUUGCAUGUGUUUUUAUUUUAAAAAUUAAGAGAUUUUAUUUUUAGAGCAGUUUUAGGUUUACAGAAAAAUUAAGCAGAAAAUACAGAGAGUUCCCAUAUAACCCUUCUCCACUGGCUCCCUGCACAGUAUCUCCUAUUAUUAACAUAGAAGGAAAAAAAAGAAAGGCACCUGGACAAUGCACAUCCUUAUGUUUUGGAUAAAGGAGUUACAACUCUAUCAAAUGGCUCAUGUCUAUAAAUGUAUAGGUUAUGCCAUGUGUCGACCAAUGUAUGCCAAUCACUUUAAGCAAAGGGUCUUUUAAAGAGCUCUUUAAGAGAUUCUUGGCACAUGAAAAAAAGGAGUUAAAUGCUUCAAGAAUAAAACAUACUUUAGGACAAGAUAAGGUUGAUAGGGUCAAUUUUCUAAUAGUCCUUGAAAAUCUGAAGUCACCUGUUAAAUAAAUAACCUGGAAUGGAAUUCCCACCACACGUUUUACUCAGCUGUAGGGCCCCAGCUGAAAGGGGAGUCUAAUACCAGGGGUCUUCCUUCAUUUGGAGCGUUUCAAAAUAGAUAAGGAAGCCAGGAUGUGACUUGAUUAGGGACAGUAUUGGGGGAUAAAACAAAUUAUUUAGGAGAUAAAAAUUUGAUUUUAUCUUUUCUUUAAAAAGUUAUUGUUCCAAGCCAUUACAAAAUCUCCUUACAUUACAUUGUAAUUACAUUACAAAAUCUCCAUUACAAAACAUAAAAAUUUCACAACUUCCAGAGAUUCUGCUAUAUCCCAUAAAAGGAUAGGCCUUACCAUGAAAAGCAAAUUUAGGGACUAUACCCUAUGAACUCUCACCAGCCAAAAUUUUUCCCAAGUCUCCCUUUUCCUGGUCUGUAUUAAGGAGAAAAUAAGGUCAUUUUGUAUUUUCCAAAUCAAAAUUUUAGAAGACACAUAUAUACCCUAAUUGAAAAUCAAUGCUUUAUUUCUAUUUAUUUAUUUUGGGGAGCGGAGGGGCGGAGGGAGAGAGAGAAUCCCAAGCAGGCUCCAUGCCCAGCACGGAGCCUGAUGCAGGAGUUUGAUCUCACAACCCUGAGAUCAUGACCUGAGCUGAAAUCAAGAGUCAACCAACUGACCCAUCCAGGUGUCCCCAAAAUCACUGCUUUCUUUAUUAUAUGGCAUUGCCAUUAGUAUUUGUUGACCAACUCCACAUCCAAUUACUUAUUAUGUGACCAUCUUCCUCUUAACUUGCCAUUUCAUGCUCAUUACCAUCCAAGGGUCUAGAAGUCUGACCAGGAAAUGUAACAUUAGUUAUCUUUGCCCCUGAGUGGGGGGUGUGGAGUCUAUGUAUGUUUCUUCCAUGACUUUUGUACUUUAUAGGUGCUCGAUAAAUGCAUUUUUUGUUUUUUUUUUUGUUGUUGUUGUUUUGAUAAAUGCAUUUUGAACUAAAAUUCCUUCCAGAGGCCUUUUUAAAAUAAAUGUAGGUCUAAAUUCAUACCUCAUGUCCCAUCAAAUUAAUCACAUAAUAGUCCAAACCCAAAAUCUCAAAUAUUAAAUUCCUGAGACUUUGAUUAUGGGCAGUGGUAAAAGUGUACAAUAGAAGGUCUUUUGGAAAAGCUGAUCUCCAAUUUAAACAGGCAGGGAAAGAUAAGAUGACAACCAAAGCAGCACAUAUGGGGCCCCA